UCAGUGUGUGUGUUAGUGGAAGCGUCUGGAAAGGCGCGCGAUACAGGGUGACAGCCCCGUACACAAAAAUGCACAUGCUGUGAGCUCGAUGAGUAGGGCGGGACACGUGGUAUCCUGUCUGAAUAUGGGGGGACCAUCCUCCAAGGCUAAAUACUCCUGACUGACCGAUAGUGAACCAGUACCGUGAGGGAAAGGCGAAAAGAACCCCGGCGAGGGGAGUGAAAAAGAACCUGAAACCGUGUACGUACAAGCAGUGGGAGCACGCUUAGGCGUGUGACUGCGUACCUUUUGUAUAAUGGGUCAGCGACUUAUAUUCUGUAGCAAGGUUAACCGAAUAGGGGAGCCGAAGGGAAACCGAGUCUUAACUGGGCGUUAAGUUGCAGGGUAUAGACCCGAAACCCGGUGAUCUAGCCAUGGGCAGGUUGAAGGUUGGGUAACACUAACUGGAGGACCGAACCGACUAAUGUUGAAAAAUUAGCGGAUGACUUGUGGCUGGGGGUGAAAGGCCAAUCAAACCGGGAGAUAGCUGGUUCUCCCCGAAAGCUAUUUAGGUAGCGCCUCGUGAAUUCAUCUCCGGGGGUAGAGCACUGUUUCGGCAAGGGGGUCAUCCCGACUUACCAACCCGAUGCAAACUGCGAAUACCGGAGAAUGUUAUCACGGGAGACACACGGCGGGUGCUAACGUCCGUCGUGAAGAGGGAAACAACCCAGACCGCCAGCUAAGGUCCCAAAGUCAUGGUUAAGUGGGAAACGAUGUGGGAAGGCCCAGACAGCCAGGAUGUUGGCUUAGAAGCAGCCAUCAUUUAAAGAAAGCGUAAUAGCUCACUGGUCGAGUCGGCCUGCGCGGAAGAUGUAACGGGGCUAAACCAUGCACCGAAGCUGCGGCAGCGACGCUUAUGCGUUGUUGGGUAGGGGAGCGUUCUGUAAGCCUGUGAAGGUGUGCUGUGAGGCAUGCUGGAGGUAUCAGAAGUGCGAAUGCUGACAUAAGUAACGAUAAAGCGGGUGAAAAGCCCGCUCGCCGGAAGACCAAGGGUUCCUGUCCAACGUUAAUCGGGGCAGGGUGAGUCGACCCCUAAGGCGAGGCCGAAAGGCGUAGUCGAUGGGAAACAGGUUAAUAUUCCUGUACUUGGUGUUACUGCGAAGGGGGGACGGAGAAGGCUAUGUUGGCCGGGCGACGGUUGUCCCGGUUUAAGCGUGUAGGCUGGUUUUCCAGGCAAAUCCGGAAAAUCAAGGCUGAGGCGUGAUGA
rnacentral:rRNA from 1 species